rnacentral:rRNA from 1 species
AUACUGAGGGUGCAAGCGUUAAUCGGAAUUACUGGGCGUAAAGCGCACGUAGGCGGUUUAUUAAGUCAGAUGUGAAAGCCCUGGGCUUAACUUGGGAACUGCAUUUGAGACUGGUAGGCUAGAGUAUGGUAGAGGAUAGUGGAAUUCCGGGUGUAGCGGUGAAAUGCGUAGAUAUCCGGAGGAACAUCAGUGGCGAAGGCGGCUAUCUGGACCAAUACUGACACUGAGGUGCGAAAGCGUGGGGAGCAAACAGGAUUAGAAACCCCAGUAGUCC